UACGUAGGGUGCAAGCGUUGUCCGGAAUUAUUGGGCGUAAAGAGCUCGUAGGCGGUUCGUCGCGUCGGCUGUGAAAUCCCGGAGCUCAACUCCGGGUCUGCAGUCGAUACGGGCGGACUUGAGUACUGCAGGGGAGACUGGAAUUCCUGGUGUAGCGGUGAAAUGCGCAGAUAUCAGGAGGAACACCGGUGGCGAAGGCGGGUCUCUGGGCCAUUACUGACGCUGAGGAGCGAAAGCGUGGGGAGCGAACAGG
rnacentral:rRNA from 1 species